rnacentral:rRNA from 1 species
CUUGCUAAGUUUGAUGGCGACCGGCGCACGGGUGAGUAACGCGUGAGGAACCUGCCUUGAAGAGGGGGACAACAGUUGGAAACGACUGCUAAUACCGCAUGACGUGUUCGGAUGGCAUCAUCUGAACAUCAAAGAUUUAUCGCUUCAAGAUGGCCUCGCGUCUGAUUAGCUAGUUGGCGGGGUAACGGCCCACCAAAGCGACGAUCAGUAGCCGGCCUGAGAGGGUGAACGGCCACAUUGGGACUGAGACACGGCCCAAACUCC